GACGUAGGGCGCGAGCGUUGUCCGGAUUUAUUGGGCGUAAAGAGCUCGUAGGCGGUCUGUCGCGUCUGCCGUGAAAACCCGAGGCUUAACCUCGGGCUGGCGGUGGAUACGGGCAGACUAGAGGUAGGUAAGGGAGAAUGGAAUUCCCGGUGUAGCGGUGAAAUGCGCAGAUAUCGGGAGGAACACCGGUGGCGAAGGCGGUUCUCUGGGCCUUACCUGACGCUGAGGAGCGAAAGCGUGGGGAGCGAACAGG
rnacentral:rRNA from 1 species